ensembl:lncRNA
GCCAGGCAGGAAGUUCAGGGCCCUUUUCUUCCAUUUGUCCAGGAGGUGCUCCUCUGGGGGAGGAGCGGCCUCUGGCGCAUUCAGGCCUGAGCUUAUGGAAUCAAGGAGUGGCCUCUGGUUCUGAUGCACAGGAGAUGCACACCCGGGGUGCCGGGGGCAGAGCGAAGGGUGGAGGACAGACCCUCUGAGGCCUGUUCUGGGCAGUGGGACCCGAGGCAGGUCCUACAAGAGCAGCGAAGCCCUGGACUCCUCCUCUCCGUGGGUUGUGCGUGCGGCAGGCACACACUGACACAUCUGUUACUCACAUGAAUGCGUGUCUGUAUUUUCACCAAGACUUAAGUCAUAUUUGAAGUCUUAGCCCAGGUUUUCCACAGGGCAGUGGGCACUCAGGGACAAAUUUAGCCUUCAUUAAAGGAGCAAGUCUUCUGAAGCUGGACGUGCAGCCAACAUUGCCCCGCAGAGCGUGUACAGCCAGACGGGAAGCCUUCUCAGUCUUUGCCGGGAGGUUUCCCAUGUCAACUGCCUCUAAUGACAUCCUUCUGACAUACGACCAAGCCUGUUUUAUUUGUACCAUUUGUCACAGAUGCUGGGAUGUGGCGUGGAUUGGGAAGGCUAAAUCUGCCCCCUGAUUUGGGGUUUUGGGCACCUUAUCAGACUAGGACGGCUGGCCGCUCUUUACCCCUUGUCCAGAUUUACAUCUUAGAAGAAGAGUAAGGUGUGGUGGAAGGCAUGAAUGUUUAUGGCAGUCACCGUAACUUCUUCCAGGAAAGUGAAGUGAAAGUGAAAGUCACUCAUUCGUGUCCGACUCUUUGCAACCCCAUGAACUGUAGUCCAUGGAGUUCUGGAGGCCAGAAUACUGGAGUGGAUAGCAUUUUCCUUCUCCGAGGGAUCUUCCCAACCCAGAGAUUGAACCCAGGCCUCCUGCAUUGCAGGCAGAUUCUUUACCAGCUGAGCCACGAGGCUUUCUAAAGCUUCCUUGUGGGCUAAAGAGACCUGAUGAACCUCCAGUGAUGGUGGUCUCAUUUCUACUUGGUCUAACUGUAACAUUGUCAUGUGUCCAUAGGAGCCUGGGGGGCUGUCCUCAAAUAGAAGAGACACAAAAGAGACUCUGCCGGGCACAGAGUUGGCUACUCAGGGAUUUUGUUGAAUACAUAAAUGUUGUGAGUUGCUCCCAGUCAUGUCUGACUCUGUGACACUAUGGACUAUGGCCUGCCUGGGAUGCUUUCCUGAGCCCCGCACCGCCAUCGGGAGGGCUGGGUGAGCAGGGUGCGAAGCUCACAUGGCAGCUGAGUAGAUGCAGGCUGUCCUCGGUGGGGCAGGGGCCUUCCUCAUAUCUAAUUGCCUGGUGAUGACAGGACCACCCACCGUCUUAAAUUACCCUCCAUUUGCUGAGCCCGUCGUCCAGCCCUCCCAUGAGGAACUUCACGUAUUAUGUAUUAGCAGGGAAAUGUCUACAGAAAAUAAAAACCACUUGGCAGCGGCUGUUCUUGGAACAAAAGGCAGCGAUCUGUGCGGGAAGCUGCCCAAGGUGGUUUUCCCUGAAGGGCCAAGCCUUUGGCAUUCACGUGGUCAGUGCCCUUCACCCUCACCUUCCAUGGAAGCCCUGCUCCGGGAUGCCAGGACUUGGCCUGGAGGGACGUGCACCACUGGGAGACAGUUGGCUCCACAGCACGGCUGGUCCCUCAGAAGUGCAGGGGCUCUGCAGGCUCCUCUCUCUGCCCAUCACUUGUCAGGUCCACUUGACUGGUUGUCUCCAACCUUCCAAGCCAUCGUCCAACCAGGCCCAGCAGGUGCCUCCAGCCCUGGGACAGCUAUGCAGGCCUGGAGACUGGCCGCACCCCCUGGCCUGCUCUGCCCGUCCGCUGGGCAGCCGGCCUUCCUUUUCAUCGGAGCUGCUGGAGGCCUACAGGCAGCUUACAGGAAACGGUGCCUGGAGAAACAAGAGGCCUUUGAAGCACAAGCACUGUACACCACGUCAUCUCCCCGCCUCCUCGCUGGACUCGGAGCUUCUCACUUGCUGGCCGUGGGCCGGGUGGGUCUACAGGGAUAAAGAAUGUGCACGCCAGACGUGAUGUUCGUUUUCUGAUAAUCAAUGGAUUUUAUGCAUCUGCCAAGAGUUGUGAACGGGCGAUAUGAUAUAUAGAUAGUCGGCAACUAAAUUUCAUCUCGCUCAUCAGUGCUGAUGGACAGGAAGUGGAUGCAGUUGCUCCUAAGGUCUAGUCUCCACAACUGGACAAGAGACUUAAGUUCACGUCCGGGCUUGGACAUGUCCCAUCUCCACAGCAACUGGCACGCACGGGGAUCUCACUGGCCACCUCAGCAAGACCUCUCCUCUGACGGCAAACACAUCUGGAACUCAAAGAAUGCAAAUAAAUACUUUGAGAAAAAUGCA